AGAGUUUGAUCCUGGCUCAGGACGAACGCUGGCGGCGUGCUUAACACAUGCAAGUCGAAGUGAUCUUGAGAGCUUGCUCUUAGGAUCAGUGGCGAACGGGUGAGUAACACGUGAGUAACCUGCCCCUGACUCUGGAAUAACUUCUGGAAACAGAAGCUAAUACCGGAUACGACCAGAGCCGCAUGGGCUCUGGUGGAAAGUUCUUCGGUUGGGGAUGGACUCGCGGCCUAUCAGCUUGUUGGUGAGGUAAUGGCUCACCAAGGCGACGACGGGUAGCCGGCCUGAGAGGGCGACCGGCCACACUGGGACUGAGACACGGCCCAGACUCCUACGGGAGGCAGCAGUGGGGAAUAUUGCACAAUGGGCGAAAGCCUGAUGCAGCGACGCCGCGUGAGGGAUGAAGGCCUUCGGGUUGUAAACCUCUUUCAGUAGGGAAGAAGCGCAAGUGACGGUAGGAGCAGAAGAAG
rnacentral:rRNA from 1 species